rnacentral:lncRNA from 1 species
UUUACAGAAUAUAAAAUGUUAUAGUCCUCAAAUUCUCAUUUUUGUAUAUAUUAUAUUUAAGAUAGUUGGAAUUUUACAUAUGUGAGUACAUUGUUUACAAAUUACAAGUCAAUAACUACAUAAUUAAGUGUAUGUAAUAGAGUUAUGCAAGUUUCAGAAUUUCGAAUGGAAUUCUUAAUAUUAAAUACAUUCCAAUUUCUAGCCUUUUUGUCUCCAGAUUUUUUCGAAUUUAGGAAUUUCAGUUUUUUAUUUGAAUCAGAUGAACUAGUUAGGCUCGAACCCCUUAGUACCAAGCAAAGACUCUCUGGUGAUCUAGUUAGGAAACGAUUAUAUAAGUUAAUGCAGUAAGCUUGAGAGCAUAUAUUUUGUCAUACCUUAUAUGGGGAAAAUAUUUAUGAUCCAUAGAGAAUCCUUGUUAAGAAAGCAAUUUUGCUAAAUUAGGAAAGAAUCUAGGAAAAAAAAAAAUCUAAGAGAGGAUCUUCAAUCCUAGUUUGGUAUUGUUGUGUUUUGAAAAAAAACUGUUUCUGCUGUGCUGUGAGAAUAAGCUCAUUUUUGCUGUUUCACGUUUUCAGCUUUUUUUUUUUCACCCAAAACUGCGAAACUAAUUUGUUUUUAAGUGUUUACCAAACAUAUUUUUUAGCUCAGUUUUUUUUUUAUACCCACUUUUUAUAAAAGCACCUCAAUACCAAACCAAUACGUAGGAUUCUGAUUACCGGCCCUUCAACCGCAUCGGGCCAUGUUGGACCAUCUAGGAUUAGGCAAUCCCUCCCCGAAGAGUAAAGUUUGCUUAACUUACACACUAAGGGUGCGUUUGUUGCACCGGAUUAUCUCGGACUGAACUAGCUUCAGGGAUUAAGCUGGACUGGCUUAGACUAGACUAAACUGGACUAACUUAGUGAAGCGUUUGGUGCAGUGUCGGACUAAGAAGCAGGACUAUAAUAUUAUAUUAUUU